GGUAAAGUGGCCGAAACAGGCGGCGGGUUGUAGCCCCGAGCAUGAAGGUUUAAAUCCUUCCUUUACCA
rnacentral:tRNA from 1 species